CAGCAGCCGCGGUAACGACCGGCAGCUACUAGGUGGUAGCAGUUUUAGUUGGGCCUAAAGCGUCCGUAGCCGGUUAAUAAGUCUCUGGUGAAAUCCUGUAGCUUAACUGUGGGAAUGCUGGAGAUACUAUUAGACUUGAGACCGGGAGAGGUUAGAGGUACUCCCAGGGUAGAGGUGAAAUUCUGUAAUCCUGGGAGGACCGCCCGUUGCGAAGGCGUCUAACUGGAACGGUUCUGACGGUGAGGGACGAAAGUUAGGGGCGCGAACCGGAUUAGAUACCCGGGUAGUCCUAACCGUAAACGAUGCGGACUUGGUGUUGGGGUGGCUUUGAGCUGCUCCAGUGCCGAAGGGAAGCUGUUAAGUCCGCCGCCUGGGAAGUACGGUCGCAAGACUGAAACUUAAAGGAAUUGGCGGGGGAGCGCCACAACGCGUGGAGCCUGCGGUUUUAAAUUGGAUUCAACGCCGGACAUCUCACCAGAGGCGACAGCUGUAUGAUAGCCAGGCUGAUGACUUUGCUUGACUAGCUGAGGAGUGGUGCAUGG
rnacentral:rRNA from 1 species